rnacentral:rRNA from 1 species
UACGUAGGUGGCAAGCGUUGUCCGGAUUUACUGGGUGUAAAGGGCGUGUAGCCGGGUUGACAAGUCAGAUGUGAAAUCCUGCGGCUUAACCGCAGAACUGCAUUUGAAACUGUUGAUCUUGAGUACUGGAGAGGCGGACGGAAUUCCUAGUGUAGCGGUGAAAUGCGUAGAUAUUAGGAGGAACACCAGUGGCGAAGGCGGUCUGCUGGACAGCAACUGACGGUGAGGCGCGAAAGCGUGGGGAGCAAACAGG